UCCCACCCCCAAAAUAACUCUCUUAACUCCCUCUGUCUUUAUGAAACCAGAGAAAUACUCCACCGCCGACCACCAUGCUCGUCGACGCCUCUGAUAGCCGUUAGGCACUAAACUUCAAGGCAAGGUCAAUAUCGACACCGGGAACUUGGAUCCUUCCUUGUCUUUGUGAGAAAUGACCCUCAGCCUCGCAAAAACGCUAUGAACCUUUUGGUCUUCACUCUCCGAUCUACGUCGUUAGACCCUUGUAUGGGUUCCGUUUCAAAUUAUGUUCUUCUUAUUAACAAAAGAGGGAUACUCACCAUUCGGAUGUGAGAAAUAGGGUUUCGAUCACCGAGAAACACCAACGACCGAAGUUAACGAUAAAAGGGUAAACGUUCUUUUCCUUUUUUUGGUUGCUGAUGGCUUUUUCUUUGUAUUGCUGAUUUUUGUUGUUGAUGAACCCCCCUCCAAAAGCUCCCUCGACCUGACUCCGGCGAGGAAAUCCGACUGCUCGGGCUAAAAGGGUGUUGUUGCUUCUGAUUUGUUGUUGUUGCCGCGGAUUUUGGUUGGUGAUAGCAGCUGAUUUGGUGCUGGUGAUGGUGCUACACUACUCACGUGAAGGCUUGGGGCUGACAGGGCUAUUGUUGUGCUAGAUAGGGUACCAUCUUAAUUGCAAAUGGGCUUUGGGAUGUAUCAGGUAUUGUGGGCAUUUGUUCCCAUGUACUUUUUUAUUGUGGGUAUUUAAUUUUUGGAUUUUUAGCCCAUUUUGGAUUUUGUUCCAGAUAAUAAUAAUAAU